rnacentral:rRNA from 1 species
AUGCACGCUGGCGGCGUGCCUAAUACAUGCAAGUCGAGCGAACGGACGAGAAGCUUGCUUCUCUGAUGUUAGCGGCGGACGGGUGAGUAACACGUGGAUAACCUACCUAUAAGACUGGGAUAACUUCGGGAAACCGGAGCUAAUACCGGAUGAUAUUUUGAACCGCAUGGUUCAAAAGUGAAAGACGGUCUUGCUGUCACUUAUAGAUGGAUCCGCGCUGCAUUAGCUAGUUGGUAAGGUAAUGGCUUACCAAGGCAACGAUGCAUAGCCGACCUGAGAGGGUGAUCGGCCACACUGGAACUGAGACACGGUCCAGACUCCUACGGGAGGCAGCAGUAGGGAAUCUUCCGCAAUGGGCGAAAGCCUGACGGAGCAACGCCGCGUGAGUGAUGAAGGUCUUCGGAUCGUAAAACUCUGUUAUUAGGGAAGAACAUAUGUGUAAGUAACUGUGCACAUCUUGACGGUACCUAAUCAGAAAGCCACGGCUAACUACGUG